CCCUUUGCCCAACAUCUCCUCAUUUCCCCACCUCCCAGUCCCUGGCAACCACCAGUCUACUCUGUUUUUAUGAGUUAGGCUUUUAUAAAUUCAACGUACAGUGCUGGAGAGCAGUGGGUACUGUCCCCAAGCCCUUGCCCAGCCAAGGAGAAGAAGUUUCACUGGAUGGAGAAACAGGAGACAGAGGAGCAGACCUGGUCUUCCAUCUAGGCAAGGUGACUGGGACCGGUUUUGACCCUGGGAUGAGCACUUUCCUCAGGAUGAUGUGAGAUCUCUGAAGAUGGAAGUGGGAUUGAUCUCUUCGUUCAAGAUUCCAACAGUCUCCUCACUGGAAUCAAAGUCCCCUGAAGGCGGAACUUCAGCUGCUUUAUCCCUGCUCUAUCCACAGCCUUGGAACAGUGCCUGGAGAUGCUCAGGAAGUAUCUGCUAGACAGAUUCAAGUAAAACCCUGUCUUAGUCAGCUCAGGUUGCCAUAACAAAACACCACAGACUGGGUGGCUUAAACAGCAGAUAUC